UAGAGUUUGAUCCUGGCUCAGAACGAACGCUGGCGGCAGGCCUAACACAUGCAAGUCGAGCGCACCUUCGGGUGAGCGGCGGACGGGUUAGUAACGCGUGGGAACGUGCCCAGAUCUACGGAAUAGCCUCGGGAAACUGAGAGUAAUACCGUAUACGCCCUUCGGGGGAAAGAUUUAUCGGAUUUGGAUCGGCCCGCGUUAGAUUAGGUAGUUGGUGGGGUAAUGGCCUACCAAGCCUACGAUCUAUAGCUGGUUUGAGAGGAUGAUCAGCAACACUGGGACUGAGACACGGCCCAGACUCCUACGGGAGGCAGCAGUGGGGAAUCUUAGACAAUGGGGGAAACCCUGAUCUAGCCAUGCCGCGUGAGUGACGAAGGCCCUAGGGUCGUAAAGCUCUUUCAACUGUGAAGAUAAUGACGGUAGCAGUAGAAGAAACCCCGGCUAACUCCGUGCCAGCAGCCGCGGUAAUACGGAGGGGGUUAGCGUUGUUCGGAAUUACUGGGCGUAAAGCGCGCGUAGGCGGACUAUUAAGUCAGGGGUGAAAUCCCGGGGCUCAACCCCGGAACUGCCUCUGAUACUGGUAGUCUUGAGUUCGAGAGAGGUGAGUGGAAUUCCGAGUGUAGAGGUGAAAUUCGUAGAUAUUCGGAGGACACCAGUGGCGAAGCGGCUCACUGGCUCGAUACUGACGCUGAGGUGCGAAAGUGUGGGGGAGCAAACAGAUUAGAUACCCUGUAGUCACACGUAAACGAUGAAUGCAGACGUCGGGCAGUAUACUGUCGGUGUCACACUACGAUUAGCAUCGCUGGGAUACCGUCGCAGAUUAACUCAAGGAUGACGGGGCGCAAACGGUGACCAGUGGUUUAUUCAGCACUGCG
rnacentral:rRNA from 1 species